UAGGGAAUCUUCCACAAUGGACGCAAGUCUGAUGGAGCAACGCCGCGUGAGUGAAGAAGGUUUUCGGAUCGUAAAGCUCUGUUGUUGGUGAAGAAGGAUAGAGGCAGUAACUGGUCUUUAUUUGACGGUAAUCAACCAGAAAGUCACGGCUAACUACGUGCCAGCAGCCGCGGUAAUACGUAGGUGGCAAGCGUUGUCCGGAUUUAUUGGGCGUAAAGCGAGCGCAGGCGGAAUGAUAAGUCUGAUGUGAAAGCCCACGGCUCAACCGUGGAACUGCAUCGGAAACUGUCAUUCUUGAGUGCAGAAGAGGAGAGUGGAAUUCCAUGUGUAGCGGUGGAAUGCGUAGGUAUAUGGAAGAACACCAGUGGCGAAGGCGGCUCUCUGGUCUGCAACUGACGCUGAGGCUCGAAAGCAUGGGUAGCGAACAGG
rnacentral:rRNA from 1 species